rnacentral:rRNA from 1 species
AGCUCCAAUAGCGUAUAUUAAAGUUGUUGCAGUUAAAAAGCUCGUAGUUGAACUUCUGGGAGUAGUGACCUUGGCACUGUCGAGGUCUACUGCUUUCAUCCGCUUGAGAACUAUGUACGUCCUUGAGUGGUCGGCAUAGGAAUCAGGCCUUUUACUGUGAAAAAAUCAGAGUGUUCAAGGCAGGCAAGCGCCCUGAAUACACAAGCAUGGAAUAAUAGAAUAGGACUAGUGUCUAUUUUGUUGGUUAUUGGACAUUAGUAAUGAUUAAAAGGGACAGUUGGGGGCAUUAGUAUUUAAUAGUCAGAGGUGAAAUUCUUGGAUUUAUUAAAGGCUAACUUAUGCGAAAGCAUUUGCCAAGGAUGUUUUCA